CCUGUGCUUGUUAAACAACAAUGCAUGUGUGACCAGGCCUGAUCAGCAGCAAAAUCCCAGUUCCUGGAUAUUCCACGAGAUAAUCUCUAUUUGCAACAGAGGAUAUUUCAACUUCUUAAUGAACCCACCAGAACCUGGAAAUACAUGGAUCUAAAUCUACAAACCAGUUACGUUAUUAAUGUAUGGAAUAAAAGGUUAACAGCUUGCGGCCUCUUUCAACUUUUAUUUAGGCGAAAUGAUUCAGGGUGGCUCCAAAUGUGACACAAAUGACAAGCAAGCAUCUACUUGCAGGCUGAAGUUUGGACUGGGACAAUGCCUUGUGACCCAAAAACACGCCUACUUGCAACAAAAUCCCAGGAGAUGGAAGGCUAUGUAUGUACUUAAUAUAAGCAUGUAAAUUUUACACUGUAAAAAGAUAGCAGUUAUGUAAUACUGCCAAGAACAUUAAAUGACUUCAAUCUA